CGCUCUUCUCCGUGGAUUUCCUGAAAAUAAAAACGCUUUGACGCAGACAAUUUUUGAACUUUACAGGAACCUGCAGGGAAAAUAUUAGAGGAUUCGUAACUGAACUAAGGCCAGCUUACAGACGUAAAAUCAAGCGUAAACGUCAGAGAUCAAGCAAAUUCUUUAGUCGAAGUACCCAACAGAAGCAACUCCUCUAGAACAACAGUCCAAAUAUGGCGGCCUUUAUAGCAAAGCAGAUGGUUGGAAACCAAUUAAGUGCCGUUAAAGAUGCUGCAGGUGGUGGUGAUGGAGGCGAUGAUGGCGACGACAAAGAAAAGGCAGAGGAGGAGGAGAGAGAGCGUCAGGAAGCCAUUAAAGAGGCCGAGGACCGGCGUAAAGAAAAGCACCGGAAAAUGGAGGAAGAGCGCGAGAAGAUGAGACAAGAUAUUCGCGAUAAGUACAACAUUAAGAAAAAGGAGGAAAUCGUAGAGGCGGCACCACAAGAAGAGCCCAAUCCCCUAAUGAGGAAAAAGAAGACGCCCGAAGAACUCGCCGCCGAAGCGGAGCAAGAAGAGCUAGACGAUUUUACAAAACUGAAAAAUCAAAUAGAAACGCAAGUAAAUGAGCUAAAAACUCAAAUAGAGGGAAAAUGUGUCAUGCAGUGAUAUGUCAGUCAUCAUAAUAUAAAAACAAAUAAAUAUAAUGGUAAAAUCAAAAUAAUACUGAUAACAUUUACCCAUAAAAGGAUCAUGAUUAACCUGGACUUGAAAUUGAAUUAUUAACAUGAAAUCUGUUAAAACGAAUAAAAACAUUGCAAAGCUAGAGCAUACCUGUAACCCGGCAGCAACUUAGAACACAUUAAACAAUAAGUCACUCAAUCGGUGACACCUAUAAUCAGAACCGAAGCAGAUAUGCGAAAUAAAAAUGUGGAACUUUGAACUCCUAAUGAAUUUUAAAGUAGCUAAACCAUCAGCCAAAUUAUUUAAAGCCCAACUAUAGUGAACAUAAUAUUCAAAUCACUUUGCUUCAAUAACAAUAUAAUAUACUUAAACCCAAUCUACAAAACAUAUGCGUUGUUUGGUUAAUAACAUACAUUUAAAAUAACUACUGAAAUACUAUUGAAAUACUUAAUUGGCAUUAUAAAUAAAAUAAUAUAAAACAUUUGGUGCGAGAGAGGAGGCUGCUAUGUCGUUCAUGUCGGACCGUCAAAGUAUGUUGCUGAAAUCGCCUUGGACUUUAAAUCCAUCUAUAAAUAUAGAAAGAAUUUAAAUCCAUCUAUAGAAAGAAUUUAAACUAAAUCGGCGAAUAUGUUGAAAUCGUCAUUUUAAUAUAUACUCACCUGUUAUGUAUAUAUGUAAAUUUAAUGAGUUUAACCAAGAGUAAAAUAAUAUAAUUGCAAGCAAAUUGACUGGAGAUAUUAUUGCUGAUUCUUUAAAUUGUGUACUAACAACUGGAAAGAAAAAGUUUAAAAAACAAUUUUAUGUCAAUUUGUUUUGGAAAAUUCGAAACAAAAGAUCUUUAAUAGCUGUUACAUUUUGUUUCUUUCUUAUACAAACAACAUACCUACACUACAAUUGAGAAUUUCUAACUCUUUGAAAAAUGAUUGAUGCUUCUGAAAUACAUGUACUCUCGGUGUUAUAUAAAUAUCAUCAACAACAACCAGAACAACAGCACAAGUAAACGCCUACAGCCAGUACAAGAACAACAUCAACAAGAACAUCUACCACAGAAGUAUCUAUAUAUAUAUAUAUACAUAAUAAGAUAUAAUCUAUACUAGAGAAGCAAAAUCAGAAAACCGCUAGCUACAUGAACAACAGUAUCAAGUGAACAAGAUCAUAACAAUUGCUAGCCAACAUUCCCAACUAUAUUUUUGAACUUUGUAAAUUAAUAUGGAUUAGGCUUCCUACCAAUGCCAUUGCAUCCACACGCUUAUAAAAUUUCACAAACAAGGAUAUUUGUCACAAGCAAUUAAAUGGCUAUGAAGUUCAGUAAAAGAAUAAAACAAUGUACAGAUCCGUUAAAAAAGCAGUUUAAAGCGGUUAAAUAUACCCACAAUUUUUAAAUGACUGUACAAUUUUCAGUUACUGUGCAAUUUCCAGUACUUUGAAAACAUUCUCAUUCUCUCGGUAGGACAUCAAUAAAGUAAAAUGGCUUAACUCCCCUUUCUGUCAACCUUAUUAAGCAAUCCCCUAGUGCCCCUCGCUCCAUACAAAGUUAGGAACGAUCAAACUAAUGAAUGAAUGCCUUAACGCGGCUCAGAAGACUAGACCAUGAGUAGCGAAUGUAUAAAGAUAAGAAGAGGUGAUUCUACCUUAAGGAAAGGUACUUGCUAUCCCUAUCGCGCACCUACCUAUUUAACUAAAUCGGAAACCAGAUCUCUUAGCUAAAAUCUUUUCAAGCUCGAACCUAAAAAGUUAUAACGUAAUGGCUUUCAAAAUAACUAUUGAAAAUGUUGAACUAAAUUAUACUCUAUCUAUUGCGUUUUUCCCUCUGAUACUUAUAUGAAGUUGAGCAUUACUUUAAUUGUUUAAUAUAUUAAAUAAACAUAUAUAAAGAAAGCUAAAAGAAAUAAUUGAAACAUACUCAAUCUCACCCAAGAUUUUAACGUAAUCAUAAAUUUUUGAAAUGUUAAAUGGUUCAGCCGAUUUUCUUUUCUUUUUGAAUUUGUUGAUGUUACGUUACCGUAGUAUUGUAGUAAUGAAAAUGUAAUUAAUUGUAUAUCAAAAAGUUCACGAAAACACAGAUAAUUACACAUUGUUAUCUUAAUAAAUAUAAAUAUAUAUAUGAAUAUAUAUAUAUAUGCCUAUAUAUGUAUAUAUCUGUAUAUGUGUAACUUCAUAGGGAAAUGAAUUUAAUAAAAAAAAAAACGGCAGAAAAUGAUAUUAAAAAUAAUGUUGAACACAAUACCAUUCAAGUCAUUAUUAGACGUGAAAGACGUUCUAUACACUACAGAGGAACAAGCAAAAAUUUAACAAAAACUUAAGAAAAUCGUUAAUAGUUGAUUAAUUAUAUUGUUACUUUGAACAUUUAAUUAAAACAAACAAAAAACAAAAGGUUUAAUAAAAAAAUAUAUAUGUAUAAAUAUAUAUGAGAAAACACAAUAA